rnacentral:rRNA from 1 species
CCCUUAGAUGUCCGGGGCCGCACGCGCGCUACAAUGGAUGAAUCAACGCGUCAUCCUGGCCCGAAAGGGUUGGGGAACCGCUUAACCUCAUCCGUGGUUGGGAUUGGGGUUUGUAAUUAUUCCCCAUGAACUAGGAAUUCCCAGUAAGCGCGAGUCAUAAGCUCGCGUUGAUUACGUCCCUGCCCUUUGUACACACCGCCCGUCGCUACUACCGAUUGGAUGGUUUAGUGAGAUCCUCGGAUUGGUCACGGCACGGUGGCAACACUGCGUCGGUGUGCCGAGAAGACGAUCAAACUUGAUCAUCUAGAGGAAGUAAAAGUCGUAACA